GGAUAGCUCAGUUGGUUGGAGCGUGGUGCUGAGAAUGCCAAGGUUGCAGGUUCGAUCCCCAUAAGGGGCAGCU
rnacentral:tRNA from 1 species